rnacentral:rRNA from 1 species
AUUGAACGCUGGCGGCAUGCCUUACACAUGCAAGUCGAACGGGGGUAGCAAUACCCUAGUGGCGAACGGGUGAGUAAAGCAUCGGAACGUACCCAGUUGUGGGGGAUAACGUAGCGAAAGUUACGCUAAUACCGCAUACGCACUGAGGUGGAAAGCGGGGGAUCGCAAGACCUCGCGCAAUUGGAGCGGCCGAUGUCGGAUUAGCUAGUUGGUAGGGUAAAAGCCUACCAAGGCGACGAUCCGUAGCUGGUCCGAGAGGAUGAUCCGCCACACUGGGACUGAGACACGGCCCAGCCUCCUACGGGAGGCAGCAGUGGGGAAUAUUGGACAAUGGGGGGAACCCUGAUCCAGCCAUGCCGCGUGUGUGAAGAAGGCCUUAUGGUUGUAAAGCACUUUAAGCGAGGAGGAGGCUACUUUAGUUAAUACCUAGAGAUAGUGGACGUUACUCGCAGAAUAAGCACCGGCUAACUCUGUGCCAGCCGCCGCAGUAA